AUGUGCCUCUCCACAAGCGCCGCUGGACAGCCACGCCGUCCACGCGCCGUCCGCACCCGCGCCGCCCGGACCGCCGCGCCAUUCAGCGCCCGCGCUGACCGGGUUCGAUCUAGACUACGAGGGGUUGCCCCGACCCCGUUCCUCGAGUUGGCCGUGGAAGAGAGAGAGAGCGAGACGAGGGGUUGCCCCGACCCGGUUCCUCGAGUUGGCAAUGGUGGAUCUAGAGUUCUAGACGAGGGGUUGCCGUCCGGCCCGUCCCUUUCAUUGCAUCCACCAGAAGAGAGAGAUCGAAGGGAAGAAGCUUGA
rnacentral:rRNA from 1 species